UACAGAGGUCCCGAGCGUUGUUCGGAUUCAUUGGGCGUAAAGGGUGCGUAGGCGGCGGGGCAAGUCUGAUGUGAAAUCCUGGGGCUCAACCUCAGAACUGCAUUGGAUACUGCCUUGCUAGAGUACUGGAGAGGGAACUGGAAUUUACGGUGUAGCAGUGAAAUGCGUAGAGAUCGUAAGGAAGGCCAGUGGCGAAGGCGGGUCUCUGGACAGUUCCUGACGCUGAGGCACGAAGGCCAGGGGAGCAAACGGG
rnacentral:rRNA from 1 species